ACGGGUGAGUAACACGUAAGCAACCUGCCCCCAGGAUGGGGACAACAUUCCGAAAGGAAUGCUAAUACCGAAUGAAAUCAGAGGAUGGCAUCUUCCUUGGAUCAAAAAUGGCCUCUUAAAACUGUUCUCGCCUGUCGAGGGGCCUGCUUCUGAUUAGGCGAUUGGCGGGGUCACGGACCCCACCAGCGACAAUCCACAACCGGUCGGAGACGAUGAACGGGCCCUUUGGCACUGAGACACCGCCCAUACUCCAACGGGAGGCAUGGAAGGGGAAUCUAUGCAACUGAGUCUAAGCCUGCUGGAGCGACUUCCGCGUGAAUGAUUAUGGUAUCCCAAUCUUCUAUCUCUACUGAAAAUGAAGAAAAACAAUCUUGAAAAUACUGAGCUUGGGUGACGGAACAGACCGAGGCUGCCACCGAUAUCCCAGUGCCGGCAACAAUGGGAAUAUCUAGGUGGCUAUCGUUGUCCAGAAUUACUGGGCCUAUCGGGAGCGCAUGCAUACGUAUAAACUUAACUUCAAACUUCUAAGCUCUCCCCCAGAGGAGAUAGAUUAUGUUGAUUCGAGUGGAGAGAAUGAAUUUCCAUGUGCAGCAUUGAUCAUGUAUAUGAUAAAUAAAUUGAAAAGAACCACACGAUAACUAGGGCUUUUUUUCUUGAAACUGUACCCCGAAGGUGCAGGCUGAAAAAGCAAGAUAAACCGAACU
rnacentral:rRNA from 1 species